rnacentral:rRNA from 1 species
UACGUAGGGGGCAAGCGUUGUCCGGAAUUAUUGGGCGUAAAGGGCGCGUAGGCGGAGAUAUGUGUCAGCUGUGAAAACUACAGGCUUAACUUGUAACCUGCAGCUGAAACUGUAUCCCUUGAGUGCAGGAGAGGAAAGCGGAAUUCCCAGUGUAGCGGUGGAAUGCGUAGAUAUUGGGAGGAACACCAGUGGCGAAGGCGGCUUUCUGGACUGUAACUGACGCUGAGGCGCGAGAGCGUGGGGAG